UUUGAGUAGAUAGCCUUGAGUGUGUCCUUGUUGCCCCAGUAGGCCUUGUCAAAGUCCCCAUAUUCCAGGAGAUAUGCAUAUUGAAGUUUAAAAUGAUCUCCAUAAUCCUUUGUUGUCUUGAGGCUCUCCCCUGCAGGAACUCCAGGAACUCCUGGUGCCGCCUGGGCCGAUGGAUUGGACGCCCCAGCCCCUCCGUUCCUGCCCAGCCACUGGGUCCGUGUCCAGUGGUGGCACUGCCAGCCCUGCAGUGGGAUGUAGCCUGGAAACCGCACAGAGCUGAGCCAAGGGAUUGAAAGGGACCAACCAAGGGAGGUGAAGAAAGAAGGAAGAAGGGAACUGAGGCAGUAGACAAGCACCUCUAAGUUACACUGUAAACAGGUUUUUCCAAGUGCUGUCCAGCACAGGGAUCCAUGUGCUGGGACAGUGAUUGGCAGCAGGAAGGGGAGCCUUGGCCUCACCUGCCCAGCUCAGGCCAGGCCAAAGCCCUGAUCCAGCCCAGCUCUGCCAAGUGCCCUGGGCUGGGAGCAGCCAAAGGCAAGAGGCUGCAGCCCCGCCGGCCGGGCUGGGGGCUCCUGGUGCUGCCCGUGGGGUGGGGUAAGU